rnacentral:lncRNA from 1 species
GAAGCGGCGCAUCCACCGUUUCCAAUGACGGCACGCCACUGCUAAAUAUUAAAACAAUUUAAAAAUUAAAUCUAUUGAAAAUGAAAAAUUAAGAAGGGAAAAACUCAUUACAAAGAGAAUAGACAACUCACAAUCGGAGUUCUAAUGGCCUAUAAACUAUCUCGCAAGCAAGGAUUCCAUACAAUGAUACCAUAAUUACACGCUACGUUAACAUAAGUAAACAGCAUUAUCAACUACGUAUUCAUUAGUCUCUCUGCAAGAGUUAUUUCUAUUAAUGAAAGACGACAAAACCGGAAGACCAGAGGAUACAAAAACGCUAUAGCAGAAAUCGUUUAGAAUAAAUAAAAACAGGUUGACACAAGAAACAAGCCUAUAGAUUUUAUCUCAUUGUACAGUACCAUUGAUUAUAUUCGAUCAAAUUUUCACGUUUUAGUUUUCAGAAAUGUCACCAGAUGGUGCCUUACUCCGUUUGAAAUUUACAUUUUUAUACAGUGGAAUCGGAUUAUUUCGAACCAGCCAUUAUUCCACUUCAAAUUAAUAUCAACCCCAAAACAUUGGCGAUGUAAGGGAUGGCGAUGAAGAUACAGAAAUUUUCUUUUUAUUUUUAUGAAAAUAAUUGAUAUGUUUAAAACGAAACAAGGAUAUAAUUGUAACUAUUUGUCUUUAGAUGGUAGUUAAUUAUAAUGUACUAGCUGUUACCCGCGACUUCGUCCGCGGAGGUUUUACAAUC